GCAUCCUAUCAUAUGGGAUUCAAUUAAAUACUCACAAUCAGCUCACAUGAUUUUAUAAAUUCACUUCAAAGGUUCUUGAUCAAAUCAAGAUAAAUAAAAUCAAAAAAAAAAUUGAUUUAAUCCAAACCAUAAAAGCAUCCAACCAUUGGAGGCCAUUGAAUCAAAUUCAAUUAGAUUCAAAUCAACUGUAGGAGUUGGUUAAAAACUUAUCAUAUAAGCAAACUAAUUACAAGAGAAAUUGGGUUCACCCAGGUGCUAGCA
rnacentral:lncRNA from 1 species